UGGGGAAUAUUGCACAAUGGGCGCAAGCCUGAUGCAGCCAUGCCGCGUGUGUGAAGAAGGCCUUCGGGUUGUAAAGCACUUUCAGCGAGGAGGAAGGGUUCAGUGUUAAUAGCACUGUUCAUUGACGUUACUCGCAGAAGAAGCACCGGCUAACUCCGUGCCAGCAGCCGCGGUAAUACGGAGGGUGCAAGCGUUAAUCGGAAUUACUGGGCGUAAAGCGCACGCAGGCGGUUUGUUAAGUCAGAUGUGAAAUCCCCGCGCUUAACGUGGGAACUGCAUUUGAAACUGGCAAGCUAGAGUCUUGUAGAGGGGGGUAGAAUUCCAGGUGUAGCGGUGAAAUGCGUAGAGAUCUGGAGGAAUACCGGUGGCGAAGGCGGCCCCCCUGGACAAAGACUGACGCUCAGGUGCGAAAG
rnacentral:rRNA from 1 species